AUGAUCAGAUUUAAUAGGUUCACCACUGUUGAACCAACCGUUGAGACGGACCUUGAAUUCCCAUUCUACACUUAUUCGCUCACUAAACUGGCCCACCUGCCUGCGCCCCUUGAGAGGCCUCCUUUCUUUACAGAUGUGCUUGGCCUUAUCGUUGCCGUGUCAGACACCAUGCAGUAUCACAGUUCAAGCAGGGCCCAACCUUUUGUGAAACGAAUUGUCACCAUUCGGGAUCUCAGUGGGUAUCAGAUAAAUGUUGUGCUUUGGGGCGAGCAUGCAACGGUGUUUGAUGCAGAGGAGGUCAUCACAAUUGGUCUGACCGGACCAGUCUUCGUUCUGUUUGUUGGCACUCUGGUCAAAAACUAUGAAGGUCGAAGGGGGGUUAGCGGAAGUGCAGCGUGUCGGUGGUACAUUAAUGAUGACAUUACUGAAAUAUCAUAUUUUCAUGAGAGGUUACAGGGCAAGUUCUCUCCUGUAGAAAAGAUACGUUUACCAGGACAGACGAUGGCUCAAGUGGCUGCACAUGUUGAAAUGGAAACUAAGACGGUGGCAGAGCUGCUGGCUUUAGAUAUAUACAAGCAUAAGGAAGCCAGUUUCUUCACCUCGAUUACAUUGGCUAGGCUCAGUCCUGGGCAGCGCUGGUGGUUCAUGUGCUGUGAGAAAUGUCAUAAAACUUCCCAGCCAUAUGGGUCUGUCUACAGGUGCAAUGAUACCAAAUGUUCAUGCACCGAUGCACGGCCAAGGUAUCGGAUCUGUUUCGUGGGGGCUGAUGAUACAGGUGAGGCUGAGUUCGUCUUAUUUGAUAGAGCCGGCAGGGAUGCUGUUGAUAAAUCUCUGAUCACCCUGCUACGCGAGGGGAAUUCUAACCGGAUGCCUCUUAACGAGGUUGUUCAAAUGGCCCGUGGGACUGAUGCCCUUCCCCGUGAGCUUUCUACAUUGAUUGGCCAAAAGUAUCGAUUUGUGGUGUCUAUCUCGUCAAAGAGUUUCCAACCAGAGGCAGAAGAGACCUCAUACCAGGUCAACCGUAUUGAUGUUCCAGUGGAAAAGGGGUCCCGUUCCACAGUUGAGUAUCGCAAGGCUGAUUCUUCUGAACAGUUUGAAAGUGAUACAGGCUCACUGGCCCUUGCUGGUGUUGCUGACUCUACUGUGCUUCCCACUGAGUCCAUCCCAUCCUUAACCACCACGGAUCUCCAUUCGCUUGUCCAGUCAAAUGAGGCUACAACUCCUAAAGCUCAACCUGGCCGUGGUCGGGCUUCUCCGGCAUCUGUCAACAAAGUUACCAGUGUAAAGCAGAUGGAAAAGAACAAGGCGCCAAAGAAUGUUGUGCAUGUGCCUCUGCUUCCUCCAGCUACUAAUGAGGUCACCGAUCCAGUUGUUGAUCCUAAAACACAGGAUGUUGAUGGGACUACUUCAAGGGGUGUUGAUGCAGAGGAGGGAGGCGAGGAUCCCAGCGCCAGGAAAAGGCUUAAGCUCUAG
rnacentral:rRNA from 1 species